rnacentral:rRNA from 1 species
GAUGAACGCUGGCGGCGUGCCUAAUACAUGCAAGUCGAGCGAACAGACGAGGAGCUUGCUCCUCUGACGUUAGCGGCGGACGGGUGAGUAACACGUGGAUAACCUACCUAUAAGACUGGGAUAACUUCGGGAAACCGGAGCUAAUACCGGAUAAUAUAUUGAACCGCAUGGUUCAAUAGUGAAAGACGGUUUUGCUGUCACUUAUAGAUGGAUCCGCGCCGGAUUAGCUAGUUGGUAAGGUAACGGCUUACCAAGGCAACGAUGCGUAGCCGACCUGAGAGGGUGAUCGGCCACACUGGAACUGAGACACGGUCCAGACUCCUAUGGGAGGCAGCAGUAGGGAAUCUUCCGCAAUGGGCGAAAGCCUGACGGAGCAACGCCGCGUGAGUGAUGAAGGUCUUCGGAUCGUAAAACUCUGUUAUUAGGGAAGAACAAAUGUGUAAGUAACUAUGCACGUCUUGACGGUACCUAAUCAGAAAGCCACGGCUAACUACGUG